AAGGGUGAUUAUAGCAUAGGGGUACACGUCUUUCCAUUCCGAACAGAGCCGUUAAGCCCUAUUGCGCCGAUGGUACUGCGCUAUUCGUGGGAGAGUAGGUCAUCGCCCGUU
rfam:Bernardetia litoralis DSM 6794 chromosome, complete genome.